rnacentral:rRNA from 1 species
CCUACGGGUGGCAGCAGUGAGGAAUAUUGGUCAAUGGGCGCAGGGCUGAACCAGCCAAGUCGCGUGAGGGAUGACUGCCCUAUGGAUUGUAAACCUCUUUUGUCAGGGAGCAAAGCGCGCCACGUGUGGCCCUUUGUGAGUACCCUAAGAAAAAGCAUCGGCUAACUCCGUUCCAGCAGCCGCGGUAAUACGGAGGAUUCGAGCGUUAUCCGGAUUUAUUGGGUUUAAAGGGUGCGAAGGCGGAAGAUCAAGUCAGCGGUAAAAUUGAGGGGCUCAACCUCUACGAGCCGUUGAAACUGGGGUUCUUGAGUGAGCGAGAAGUAUGCGGAAUGCGUGGUGUAGCGGUGAAAUGCAUAGAUAUCACGCAGAACUCCGAUUGCGAAGGCAGCAUACCGGCGCUCAACUGACGCUGAUGCACGAAAGUGUGGGUAUCGAACAGGAUUAGAUACCCUUGUAGUC